rnacentral:rRNA from 1 species
CCUACGGGGGGCAGCAGUGGGGAAUAUUGGGCAAUGGGCGCAAGCCUGACCCAGCAAUGCCGCGUGAAGGAAGAAGGCCUUCGGGUGGUACACUUCUUUUCUGAGGGACGAAGAAAGUGACGGUACCUCAGGAAUAAGCCACGGCUAACUACGUGCCAGCAGCCGCGGUAAUACGUAGGCGGCAAGCGUUAGCCGGAUGUAUUGGGUGUAAAGUGCGUGUAGGCGGGAAAGCAAGUCAGAUGUGAAAACUCAGGGCUCAACCCUGGGACUGCAUUUGAAACUGUUUUUCUGGAGUGCUGGAGAGGCAAUCGGAAUUCCGGGUGUAGCGGUGAAAUGCGUAGAUAUACGGAGGAACACCAGUGGCGAAGGCGGAUUGCUGGACAGUAACUGACGCUGAGGCGCGAAAGCGUGGGGAGCAAACAGGAUUAGAUACCCCAGUAGUC